rnacentral:rRNA from 1 species
GAUCUGGCUCAGGACGAACGCUGGCGGCGUGCCUAACACAUGCAAGUCGAGCGAGGAGAUCCUUCGGGAUGAUCCUAGCGGCGGACGGGUGAGUAACACGUGGGCAACCUGCCUCAUAGAGAGGAAUAGCCUUCCGAAAGGGAGAUUAAUACCUCAUAACAUUGCAGUUUCGCAUGGAACAGCAAUUAAAGGAGCAAUCCACUAUGAGAUGGGCCCGCGGCGCAUUAGCUAGUUGGUGAGGUAACGGCUCACCAAGGCGACGAUGCGUAGCCGACCUGAGAGGGUGAUCGGCCACAUUGGGACUGAGACACGGCCCAGACUCCUACGGGAGGCAGCAGUGGGGAAUAUUGCACAAUGGGGGAAACCCUGAUGCCAGCAACGCCGCGUGAGUGAUGACGGCCUUCGGGUUGUAAAGCUCUGUCUUCAGGGACGAUAAUGACGGUACCUGAGGAGGAAGCCACGGCUAACUACGUGCCAGCCGCCGC